UACGAAGGGUGCAAGCGUUACUCGGAAUUACUGGGCGUAAAGCGUGCGUAGGUGGUUUGUUAAGUCUGUUGUGAAAGCCCCGGGCUCAACCUGGGAAUGGCAAUGGAUACUGGCAAGCUAGAGUGCGGUAGAGGGUAGUGGAAUUCCCGGUGUAGCGGUGAAAUGCGUAGAGAUCGGGAGGAACACCAGUGGCGAAGGCGGCUACCGUGG
rnacentral:rRNA from 1 species